rnacentral:ncRNA from 1 species
AUAAACAGAAGAGGCGCGAAACUUAGGUAGCUGGUUUGAGGUGACGAAUACCGAUGACAGUCAGUGAGGGAAGUGUUCGCCGAGAAGAAUAUCAGUACGUCGCUGUUAUUUUUCGGUUUACGAGGCUGAAUCCUCGGAACUGUCACCGAUUUAUGGUGGAGAGCUUCUGGCAAU